UCAGACGGUGAGUGAUAAGAUCCAUCGUCGAAAGGGGAACAGCCCAGACCACCAAUUAAGGUCCCUAAAUGUAUGCUAAGUGGAAAAGGUAGUGAAGUUGCAUAGACAGCUAGGAUGUUGGCUCAGAAGCAGCCACCAUUUAAAGAGUGCGUAAUAGCUCACUAGCCGAGUGAUUUUGCGCCGAAAAUGUACCGGGGCUAAGCAUACUACCGAAAUUGUGGAUGCAACCGUAAGGUUGCGUGAUAGGAGAGCGUUCUAAGGGCGGUGAAGCUAGAUCGUAAGGACUAGUGGAGCGCUUAGAAGUGAGAAUGCCGGUAUGAGUAGCGAAAGACCAGUGAGAAUCUGGUCCACCGAAUGACUAAGGUUUCCUGGGGAAGGCUCGUCCUCCCAGGGUUAGUCGGGACCUAAGUCGAGGCCGAGAGGCGUAGACGAUGGAUAACAGGUUGAGAUUCCUGUACUAGUUAAACGUGUUUGAACGAUGGAGGGACGCAGGAGGCUAAGGUGAGCAUGCAGCUGGAAAAGCAUGUUCAAGCAAUAAGUCUGGUUAGCAGUCAAAUGCUGGUGACCGUGUAGACAAGUUGUGAUGAGGACCGAAUUAAGUAGGGAAGCACCUGAUGUCACACUGCCGAGAAAAGCUUCUAGUGAAUGUUUAACUACCCGUACCGCAAACCGA
rnacentral:ncRNA from 1 species